CCCAGGCCAGAUGACCUAUCUCCCUUCCAGCUCUGCCUUCCCAUUGGGACUUACGGUUAAUUGAAGUCACUGAGACCAUAUGCAAGAGGCUUCUGGACUACAGCCUGCACAAGGAGAGGACUGGCAGCAACCGGUUUGCCAAGGGUAUGUCGGAGACCUUUGAGACUCUGCACAACCUAGUCCACAAAGGGGUUAAGGUGGUGAUGGACAUCCCCUACGAGCUGUGGAAUGAGACCUCAGCUGAAGUGGCUGACCUCAAGAAGCAGCCCUCCCUCCCUCCCUCCCUCCCUCCCUCGGCCUGCUGCCCUUGGUAGGGUGGGCAGGACUGGUGGCCACCAAGGAAGACCACCCAGAGCCAGUCCUUUGUGUUAUUAGAGGUAGGGUCUCACUCUGUAGCCCUGGCUUACCUGGAACUCAGUAUGUAUAGAGACCAGGCUGGCCUCAGACUCACAGAAGUGUGCCUGCCUUUACAGCAAGCGAGUUGGGGUAAAAGGCGUGCCCACCAUACCUGGCACCUUUGUACUUUGGUGGAUCUCGGUGUUGUAGCCAAGCUCCCUUGAGAGAGUUGGGCGCUUGGCCCCACCAGUCCCUAGUGCUGUCUUCACAGUGUGAUGUGCUGGUGGAGGAAUUUGAAGAGGUGAUCGAGGACUGGUACAGGAACCACCAGGAGGAAGACCUCACUCAGUUCCUGUGUGCCAACCAUGUGCUGA
rnacentral:lncRNA from 1 species